CCUUUGUACACACCGCCCGUCGCUACUACCGAUUGAAUGGUUAUAGUGAGCAUAUGGGAUCAGUAGGAUUAAACUGGCAACAGUUUUUCCCUGCAGAGAACUAUGGCAAACUAGGCUAUUUAGAGG
rnacentral:rRNA from 1 species